rnacentral:rRNA from 1 species
UACAGAGGGGGCGAGCGUUGUUCGGAAUUACUGGGCGUAAAGGGCGCGUAGGCGGCCUGCUAAGUCAUACGUGAAAUCCCUCGGCUCAACCGGGGAACUGCGUGUGAUACUGGCGGGCUUGAAUUCGGGAGAGGGAUGCGGAAUUCCAGGUGUAGCGGUGAAAUGCGUAGAUAUCUGGAGGAACACCGGUGGCGAAGGCGGCAUCCUGGACCGAGAUUGACGCUGAUGCGCGAAAGCCAGGGGAGCAAAACGGGGAUUAAA